CAGUCGCGUCUGCUGGGACUCAGCCUUGCUUCUGCUUGGUGCACUUCUCAGUUGAUGGGUCAGCAUCAAUUUUGAUCAGUGGAAAAAGAUCAAGGGAAUGUGGCAUCUUCGGAUGUGUUAUAGCCCUUGGUUGCAUACAUUGGUUGGGAUUGGAGGAUUGCAACGGAUACCCUUCGGGCUACCUGUCUGAUCUCUGAUCGUUGCUCUGGUACCGAAAGCGUGCUUACGGUUAU
rnacentral:rRNA from 1 species